rnacentral:tRNA from 1 species
GGAGAGGUGCUGGAGUGGCUGAUCAGGCACGCCUGGAAAGCGUGUAGGCGCUAAAACCGCCUCGAGGGUUCGAAUCCCUCUCUCUCCG